AUUGAACGCUGGCGGCAGGCCUAACACAUGCAAGUCGAGCGGAUGAAGGGAGCUUGCUCCUGGAUUCAGCGGCGGACGGGUGAGUAAUGCCUAGGAAUCUGCCUGGUAGUGGGGGAUAACGUCCGGAAACGGGCGCUAAUACCGCAUACGUCCUGAGGGAGAAAGUGGGGGAUCUUCGGACCUCACGCUAUCAGAUGAGCCUAGGUCGGAUUAGCUAGUUGGUGGGGUAAAGGCCUACCAAGGCGACGAUCCGUAACUGGUCUGAGAGGAUGAUCAGUCACACUGGAACUGGGACACGGUCCAGACUCCUACGGGAGGCAGCAGUGGGGAAUAUUGGACAAUGGGCGAAAGCCUGAUCCAGCCAUGCCGCGUGUGUGAAGAAGGUCUUCGGAUUGUAAAGCCCUUUAAGUUGGGAGGAAGGGCAGUAAGUUAAUACCUUGCUGUUUUGACGUUACCAACAGAAUAAGCACCGGCUAACUUCGUG
rnacentral:rRNA from 1 species